AUGAACGCUGGCGGCGUGCCUAAUACAUGCAAGUCGAGCGAACGGACGAGAAGCUUGCUUCUCUGAUGUUCGCGGCGGACGGGUGAGUAACACGUGGAUAACCUACCUAUAAGACUGGGAUAACUUCGGGAAACCGGAGCUAAUACCGGAUAAUAUUUUGAACCGCCUGGUUCAAAAGUGAAAGACGGUCUUGCUGUCACUUAUAGAUGGAUCCGCGCUGCAUUAGCUAGUUGGUAAGGUAACGGCUUACCAAGGCAACGAUGCAUAGCCGACCUGAGAGGGUGAUCGGCCACACUGGAACUGAGACACGGUCCAGACUCCUACGGGAGGCAGCAGUAGGGAAUCUUCCGCAAUGGGCGAAAGCCUGACGGAGCAACGCCGCGUGAGUGAUGAAGGUCUUCGGAUCGUAAAACUCUGUUAUUAGGGAAGAACAUAUGUGUAAGUAACUGUGCACAUCUUGACGGUACCUAAUCAGAAAGCCACGGCUAACUACGUG
rnacentral:rRNA from 1 species